AUUGAACGCUGGCGGCAGGCCUAACACAUGCAAGUCGAGCGGAUGAUGGGAGCUUGCUCCUGGAUUCAGCGGCGGACGGGUGAGUAAUGCCUAGGAAUCUGCCUGGUAGGGGGGGACAACGUUUCGAAAGGAACGCUAAUACCGCAUACGUCCUACGGGAGAAAGCAGGGGACCUUCGGGCCUUGCGCUAUCAGAUGAGCCUAGGUCGGAUUAGCUAGUAGGUGAGGUAAAGGCUCACCUAGGCGACGAUCCGUAACUGGUCUGAGAGGAUGAUCAGUCACACUGGAACUGAGACACGGUCCAGACUCCUACGGGAGGCAGCAGUGGGGAAUAUUGGACAAUGGGCGAAAGCCUGAUCCAGCCAUGCCGCGUGUGUGAAGAAGGUCUUCGGAUUGUAAAGCACUUUAAGUUGGGAGGAAGGGCAGUAAGUUAAUACCUUGCUGUUUUGACGUUACCGACAGAAUAAGCACCGGCUAACUUCGUGCCAGCAGCCGCCGUAACAC
rnacentral:rRNA from 1 species